GACGAACGCUGGCGGCGUGCUUAACACAUGCAAGUCGAACGGAAAGGCCCUGCUUUUGUGGGGUGCUCGAGUGGCGAACGGGUGAGUAACACGUGAGUAACCUGCCCUUGACUUUGGGAUAACUUCAGGAAACUGGGGCUAAUACCGGAUAGGAGCUCCUGCUGCAUGGUGGGGGUUGGAAAGUUUCGGCGGUUGGGGAUGGACUCGCGGCUUAUCAGCUUGUUGGUGGGGUAGUGGCUUACCAAGGCUUUGACGGGUAGCCGGCCUGAGAGGUUGACCGGCCACAUUGGGACUGGGAUACGGCCCAGACUCCUACGGGAGGCAGCAGUGGGGAAUAUUGCACAAUGGGCGGAAGCCUGAUGCAGCAACGCCGCGUGCGGGAUGACGGCCUUCGGGUUGUAAACCGCUUUCGCCUGUGACGAAGCGUGAGUGACGGUAAUGGGUAAAGAAGCACCGGCUAACUACGUG
rnacentral:rRNA from 1 species